rnacentral:misc_RNA from 1 species
AGUAUUCAUUCUUCUUCCAGUCAAGACGCGAGGAUCAGGUUAGGCAGGUCGGAUUGACAGUAGAGAGCGGAAACGGCAUUUUGUUGGAACUUGUAAAUGAAGGUUAACUUUGUCGCGAACUUAGUGAAGUCUGUGGACAAGAUCGAAGGCAAUGCCACAGCAAAACUGUCAACAAGAUCUCCGUAUUGGUUUACAAGUCUCGCGGUGAAUUAACCAGGGACAAACAUGGCUCGCGUUCCGGCAGACGUGUGUUUUUCUUCGUGGUGAACCUACCUCUUUCUCUCUCGUUCCUUGUCCCUGCCUCUGUUUCGCCAGGCAGGGAUUCUCAACUUCGGGAGUGGUAAUAUUCACGCAAGUACGUAAUGCAUACACCUAUUGUAAUGUGCGUAUCAUACGGCUUAACGUAUAUUAAUAUACACACGGUAAGGGAAGAGGAGCUUCCCUCUUGUUAGUAUGCAAGUGCCGUUUCGAUGCCCCUUACGUGGCCUUAUUUGCACUCGUGUACAAUCGGCGCGCGAAACGAAUCAAAAUGACCGUUCUCCUUUUCGCAUGAUUUUUUUUGGAAUAUAUGCUUAACCCAUAAGAACGUGAAAGAGGAAUAAUGGUUCAAUCGAGAGGAAAGUAAAAUCCUGCCGUCAUCCUGGCGCGUGGCAAACCAGGCCAAAGGCCUGGAUCCUCAUCCUCCUCGUCCUCGUCCACGGAGAGGUUGCAAAGGAUGCCAGGACCGGCACAAGAGAGGCCCCGUGCGCAACGACUCACCGAUAUCGAGCCUCAAACUGCAAAAGGAUUAGGAUGUAAUCGAACGGACGAUUUCAGUACACCAAUCAGCUCUGGCAGCAACAUGAGCAGUAUAGCAAGGUUUCCAAAAUUGGACGAGUGUGCCCACUUUCAUUACGAACAUGUUGAACUCAGUUCUUUGGAGGUUUCGCUUAGCGAGGGUACCAAUGAUUCAGACAGCUACGCGGUCAGAGUAACAUCCGGGGACGCAUGCUGGACGUUGCAGCGAUCAUACGAUAAUUUUGUUAUGUUCGACAAGCAAUUGCAUCGGUGCAUAUUCGACAGGAAGUUCUCUUCCUUAACCAAGCUUCCAGAUACACGGCCAAAAAACACCUGUGAUAUACUGAGGGACUAUUUGAACAGGUUCUCCCAGUUAAAUCAUGAAGGCCUAAAUUGCGGUCCUGUGUUAAAUUGGUUGCAGCUAGACAAUAGGGGAAGAAGAAUCCUCGUCCCAGAGUCAGAUUCAUGCCCCAUUAAUACUCCUGCAGUAGCCGCGGCUUAUGCUGUUAGACCUUACGUAGCUCAGGCGCCGGAUGAAAUCUCGUUUCAGGUUGGAGAUAUGAUUUCGGUGAUAGAUAUGCCCCCUCCAGGGGAGAGUACAUGGUGGCGUGGGAAGCACGGAUUUGCAGUCGGUUUUUUCCCGGCCGAAUGUGUGGCUGUGAUCGGGGAUAAAGUGCCACGGCAUCUCACCGUGUCGACGACAGUUAGAUCAAAGUUACCCGUGAAACCGGUGCUCAGAAAGCACGGGAAGCUAAUCGCCUUUUUCAGAUCGUUUAUAUUGAAUAGACCGUCUAGAAGACGAUUGAAGCAGUCAGGAAUUCUUAAGGAACGUGUAUUUGGUUGUGAUUUAGGGGAACAUCUUUUAAAUUCUGGUCAAGAUGUGCCUACUGUUUUAACGUGCUGCGCUGAAUUCAUCGAGAAUCAUGGCCUGGUGGAUGGUAUAUAUCGUCUAAGCGGCGUGACAUCGAACAUUCAGAGAUUACGAAACGCGUUCGACGAGGAUCGUGUUCCUGCAUUGCAUUCCGAUGAAAGUAUUCUACAAGAUAUUCAUUCUGUCGCCUCGUUGUUGAAAAUGUACUUCAGAGAGCUACCGAAUCCGCUCUGUACGUACCAGCUUUAUUCCACUUUCGUUAGCGCGGUUCAAGCUAGUACCGACGCGGAAAGAUUGAGGCGGAUGAGGGAUACCGUUAGAAAAUUACCACCACCGCACUACAGAACGUUAGAAUAUCUUAUGCGACAUUUAGUGAGAGUCGCAGCUCGAGGAGCGGAGACUGGUAUGACGCCGCGUAACGUUGCGAUUGUUUGGGCUCCGAAUCUCUUAAGAUGCAAGGAAUUGGAGGUUGGGGGCGUAGCCGCGUUGCAAGGCGUCGGUGUGCAGGCUGUGGUCACGGAAUUUUUGGUCUGUUACGCCGAAUUGAUUUUCGGAGACGGCCCGGUCGGAAGGCCGAAAUCAUUGGCCAUUACAACACCGGCGAGAUUGCUUAGUUUGGAAGAGGCUCGAAAUCGUAGCCUGAGAGGUGAGCCUGAUUACGUGGAAGUGGGCGCUGGUCCAGCCGGGUUACCAUUACAUUACCAUACGGUCAUAGAAUUACCGCGAAAGAGAAAUGGCUCGAAACGUUCACCCUCGUUGAACUGGAGAGCUUUGUUCGGUCGAGGUGGUUUGGGUGCCAGAGGAAAAACAAGACAAGUUGGCACGCCACCUCAAACAGAAACGGUGCCAAGUUCCUUAAACUCCUUACGACGAUUAAGACCAGUGAAAAGCGCAGACAGUUUGGAUGGUGAGGACAGUUUAGGUCCUCUGCUGGGACCGCCACCAGCUAGACCUUGCGGGCAUAGUCGAUCAGUUUCGCAUGAUUCCUAUUUCGAUCAUUUAGCAGACGCACCGAAUACCGCGUCGCCGUUGGAUUUGUCGGAAAUACAGCUUAACUUCGACUUGGAGGAACGAGAAAUGCGAAUGUUCUCGGAGGAGGAGAGUGGGGGAGUUGCAUCGGUGGAAGCAUCUCCUCGACGGCAAAGAACGGAAGGAACGCAGAAUAUAGCCGCUACCGGUGGAUCCAAGAGGAAGAGAUCGCGAUUAGAGGAAAGACUGCAAUGCGACGUUGAGUUGCGCUUCAUUGAUAGCCAAAGUCCUGAUCAGGUGAUGGUAUCUGCAGAUAUUCAUAGCAUGGAUACUCCAUCUCCUUUGCCAACACCAGGGUACCUACCGUUAUUAUCCGAAGCUUCAACCCCGCUCACACCCGCUACACUACACGGAACACCGCAUUCUACGUCACCUGUACCAGCUAACAGUCCUAGGAUAAGUUUCCGAAGUUUCACUUUACCUUUAGAAAUCGAUGACGAACAAAGUAACGCGAAUAAACUGAACAGAACUAGCGUGUCUUCCGAUAAAUCAUCCGACCCUAGUCAUAGGUUAUCUGUAAACUUAGAAGGGCAGAGUAAUGCUAAAUCCUGUGAGAGAAUAAUGGCAUACGACAAGCACAUAGAUUUGUACGAUGAUAAAGAGCCUUCCAAGACUCAAAAGACUUCGAAGGAAACAAACUUAGUUGUAUCGGAUGUAGUCGACCAAGAAAUGAUGCCUUGCGAGAGGCUAAUGUCUCAUCCUAGCGAGAUAGACUCUAGUAAAGUAACAACGUCUAUUUGUAAGGAUAUAGAAAAUAGAUCAAGCUCGUGUCCCGUUGAAGAUAAUAAAUCUCGUAGCGGAGACACCAGAGAUACGUUGGACGUGCGAAAACACGAUGUACCGAUGAACAAAUCGAUCGUUUCGCAAAACGACGAUUUGGCUGCUAUGGCUGGAAAUUCAAACGCACAUAGGAACGAAUUACCAGGACUGCCAUUAUCCAGCGCAACAGAUCUCGAUUCUCCGAUGUCAUGCGAACAAACGAUCGAGGAUUUGCCCGAUUCCGGUUUUGUGAUUUGUGAUAACUCCGACAAGAUAUUUACAAACACAGAAACAUCACAGAUGAUAUCCAACACUAACGAUUCCGGUGAGUGGGUGAUAGUAGAGACAACCGGUUCGAUUACGACACCUACGAGCGAAUCAAGUAGCUCUAAGGAUCCUUUAGAAGGCACCGUGAAUAAUGCGAUUGCAACGGAUGCACCGCAACUAAGAUCGAUAUCGGAAAAUGUUUCCAGAACUUCUUUGGAUCUCACUAUGGGUUCAACUGUGGAUACUGAUACGUCUUGCAUCGGCGUCAGUGACUUGACCGAAAGUCCCGUUCUUCCUCAGGAAUCGGCUGAAAUGACAUUCGACGUUGCUGAUAAUAGAGAACUCGAGGAACAUGAUGUUAACACGGUACAAAGAACUUCUAGAGUUUUCGAUGAUCAAACAAAUUUUGGAGUGGUUGAUUCUGGGAAUAAUUUUUCAAAUAUCGUGCAUUCGCCUGUACAAGAUCAAGAUAAUGGAAAUCAGAAGAUACGUACCGUUAGUAUGGCGGAUAUUCAUUUAAAUCAAAAAUCUAAUGAAAUGGAGCAUGAAAACAACGCUUGUUACACGCAAUUAGAUAACACUAAAGCGUUCAAUAGAAAUGAGAAUCCAGUGAAGGAACAGAUUCUCGUAGAAGAAGAAACUUUUGCAAAUUCUCAACGAUCCUCAAAAAGUCUCGAUUUUCAACAACAAGAAAUUCGACGUUCGUUGCAGUUACAUCAGAAACCACAAUUUCAGGCAAGUGACCGCUGCUCGUUCCCCAAUCAAUCAAAGAAGAGUCAAAAUCUUGAUUUAUCUUUAACUAAUGUUGAUAACAACAAGCAACGUUGUCAAAAUCAAAAAUCAGAAAAGUGCCAAAGUUUUGAAUAUGUUUCGCCAAAGGAAUCGACCCAGAACGGUCAACAGCACAAACAAUUUUCCUCGCGUGCUGAAGAAUCAUUGAAAUGCAAUAACGUGAAGAACAGCCAAUUACAAGAGCACAUUGAAGUGGUAAUACCAUCGGAGAAUGCGGCAGAACCUAGUGAGAUAGCUCAUCCUCCAGAAGGUGCAUCCGAGACAACAUCCUUAAACUCAUCGUGUACUUUUUCAAAUACAUCUUCUCCGGUGGAUGAUUCUAUCGUUCUUCGAGACACGGCUGCUAUACUUCAAGAAUUAGCUUUGCAAAGGUUAUCUGGAGGUAUUGUGGGAGAUUUAUCCCUCCCACCAAGAAGAAGAUACGAAGCGGAAAGUAACAAGGAUCGAAGAAGCUUUGAUUCUGAAAUCGGUAGGGAAAUUGUACGUGAGCGAAAAAUGAAGCAAGAAUUGGAUUCUGCUCGGGGAAAGUCGGAAGAACCACCGGUAAAUAAUACUCAACACUUGCCACCAUGUUUGAGAGCUCGUCACGCGAGGGCGACACGAGCAUCGCUCAGUCGAUCUUUAGACGAAGCAAAAUUCAAUAAGAUGACGGAGGAAGCAUCUUUACCAGUAAAACAGGUUACAGAGGACGCGCAGCACAGUUCUACGCCUAAUGUUGGAACAGGUUCGAACGCUACGUCGAGUAGUUCUGAUAAAACGCAUUUAAAGAAUCUUGGGUUAGAUCUUGGCGAUCCUCAGUGUAGAGAAAGGAUAGAAAAGUACAAAGAAGAAAGGAGGACAUUCUUAAGGGAUAAAUACAGAUCGGAAAGCUUUCGAGGAAUGUUAUCGAAGACGGAAGAUGAUGGGGAACAAGCGCUUUUGGCUAGGUUAAAGCAGAGAGCUUCUAGACCCUCCCUUCAUUGAUAUUAAAGUAAUAUUUAUGGAAAUGUUCUGUCAAGUUUUUCCUGCGUUGAAUAAACGGCUCUGCAAUCGCGUCGCAUGAUGAACUAUGAUAUAUACUAUUCCAGUGAUCUAUUCGUUGUACCGAUCAUCGCAUUUAACCCUUUGUUCUCAACGACGUUCAAAUUUUAUUGAGUUUGUGCAUUCGAUGUAAAGAAGAGCCUAACUUGAAAUCAAGAUUACUAGAGGACCGAAUAUUUUUUUAAGGAUAACAUUGAAAAAUUUUAUCUCUUAAAUAGGAAAGUAUAAUUUAUUAAACUGAUAGAGUUUUAUAAAUUGCAUCACGUACAAUAUCCUUUAGUUUAUAUUUCCUUUUGCAUUUACUUCUUUUUUUUUCUUUCAUUUUUUUUCAUCAUAAUUUUUACCAUUUUUUUUAGGAAUUGCCGUUCUUGCAAAUGAUGAUCUAUUAUGGAUUUACACUUUUUAUUCUCAGUGUUCGCAUUUAUCUUUGAUUAGCAGUUUUAUCAUAUUUUUCUUCUCUCGAAUAACUUGUAUUAUUACUAUAAUUUACUAUUUAAGAAUUUAGCAUUUAUUAAGAUUUAUUUACAAACUGAAAAGUAUCCAGUCAUAUCGUAGACCGGAUGUAGAAACGUUGGAAGAUCGUUAAGUCUUUUUUCUGAAGUCACACGAUCAUGGUUCCCUCUUUUUCCAACAAAUAAGGAUAAUCCAAACACCAGAAGAAUAAAUUGUCUCUCUUAGACAUUAUGAUAAUAAUUUAUAAUAAUUCAUCCAGCAUCAUCGUCAUGAAUCAAUGAAUUUAGUAACAAAUCUAUAGAAGUCACAAGUCAUCUUUUUAAUAUUUCGAUCUCUGCCCGAAUCAAAAUAGUCUCGGGGAAUCAUCAAUUUGUGAUCCUGAAAAUGCUCAAAAAAAA